AACGCUGGCGGCGUGCCUCAGACAUGCAAGUCGAACGCGAAAGUCCCCUUCGGGGGAUGAUUAGAGUGGCGCACGGGUGAGUAACACGUAGGUAAUCUAUCUUCGAGUGGGGAAUAACUCAGGGAAACUUGAGCUAAUACCGCAUAAUGUAGCGGCACCACAUGGUGACAGUUGUUAAAGCAUUUAUGCGCUUGAAGAGUAGCCUGCGGCAGAUUAGCUAGUUGGUAAGGUAAUGGCUUACCAAGGCUAUGAUCUGUAACCGGCCUGAGAGGGCGGACGGUCACACUGACACUGAAUAAUGGGUCAGACUCCUACGGGAGGCAGCAGUCGGGAAUUUUGGGCAAUGGGCUAAAGCCUGACCCAGCAACGCCGCGUGAAGGAUGAAAUCUUUCGGGAUGUUAACUUCGGAAGAAUAGGAAGAAAAAAAUGACGGUACUAUUUUUAAGGUCUGGCUAACUACGUGCCAGCAGCCGCGGUAAUAAGGU
rnacentral:rRNA from 1 species